rnacentral:rRNA from 1 species
GAUCCUGGCUCAGGACGAACGCUGGCGGCGUGCUUAACACAUGCAAGUCGAACGAAGAGCGAUGGAAGCUUGCUUCUAUCAAUCUUAGUGGCGAACGGGUGAGUAACGCGUAAUCAACCUGCCCUUCAGAGGGGGACAACAGUUGGAAACGACUGCUAAUACCGCAUACGAUCCAACCUCGGCAUCGAGGAUGGAUGAAAGGUGGCCUCUAUUUAUAAGCUAUCACUGAAGGAGGGG